rnacentral:rRNA from 1 species
AGCUAGUUGGUGAGGUAACGGCCCACCAAGGCGACGAUCGGUAGCCGGACUGAGAGGUUGAACGGCCACAUUGGGACUGAGACACGGCCCAGACUCCUACGGGAGGCAGCAGUGGGGAAUAUUGCACAGUGGGGGAAACCCUGAUGCAGCGACGCCGCGUGGAGGAAGAAGGUCUUCGGAUUGUAAACUCCUGUUGUUGAGGAAGAUAAUGACGGUACUCAACAAGGAAGUGACGGCUAACUACGUGCCAGCAGCCGCGGUAAAACGUAGGUCACAAGCGUUGUCCGGAAUUACUGGGUGUAAAGGGAGCGCAGGCGGGCGAUCAAGUUGGGAGUGAAAUCCAUGGGCUCAACCCAUGAACUGCUUUCAAAACUGGUCGUCUUGAGUAGUGCAGAGGUAGGCGGAAUUCCCGGUGUAGCGGUGGAAUGCGUAGAUAUCGGGAGGAACACCAGUGGCGAAGGCGGCCUACUGGGCACCAACUGACGCUGAGGCUCGAAAGUGUGGGUAGCAAACAGGAUUAGAUACCCUGGUAGUCCACACCGUAAACGAUGAUUACUAGGUGUUGGGAGAUUGACCCUCUCAGUGCCGCAGUUAACACAAUAAGUAAUCCACCUGGGGAGUACGACCGCAAGGUUGAAACUCAAAGGAAUUGACGGGGGCCCGCACAAGCAGUGGAGUAUGUGGUUUAAUUCGACGCAACGCGAAGAACCUUACCAAGUCUUGACAUCCCUUGACGAUGCUGGAAACAGUAUUUCUCUUCGGAGCAAGGAGACAGGUGGUGCAUGGUUGUCGUCAGCUCGUGUCGUGAGAUGUUGGGUUAAGUCCCGCAACGAGCGCAACCCUUAUGGUCAGUUACUACGCAAGAGGACUCUGGCCAGACUGCCGUUGACAAAACGGAGGAAGGUGGGGAUGACGUCAAAUCAUCAUGCCCUUUAUGACUUGGGCUACACACGUACUACAAUGGCGUUAAACAAAGAGAAGCAAGACCGCAAGGUGGAGCAAAACUCAGAAACAACGUCCCAGUUCGGACUGCAGGCUGCAACUCGCCUGCACGAAGUCGGAAUUGCUAGUAAUCGUGGAUCAGCAUGCCACGGUGAAUACGUUCCCGGGCCUUGUACACACCGCCCGUCACACCAUGAGAGCCGGGGGGACCCGAAGUCGGUAGUCUAACCGCAAGGAGGACGCCGCCGAAGGUAAAACUGGUGAUUGGGGUGAAGUCGUAACAAGGUAGCCGUAGGAGUACCUGCGGCUG